AUUCUUUCUGACAAAUUUUGCAUUUCAAUGGCAUUUUACAGUAUGUAUAAUUUCAUGGCUUUUUAAACUAGAUGGCUGAGUGAAUUCUUUUUCACAAAUUUUGCAUUUUAAUAGUAAUUAGCUAGAAUAUUUAAUUUCAUGAUAUUUUAGGCUAGAACAAUAAGCGUAUUCUUUCUAACAAAUUUUGCACUUAAAUGGCUUUUUACCAGUAUGU